UACCCUGUAGGUACGACCUUGC
rnacentral:miRNA from 1 species